GUCACACACACACUGUCACACAUACACUGUCACACAGACACACAUGCACACCCCCCACCCCCACCUCACAUGCACCCCUGUCCCCAGCACACACACAGUGGCCACACCAGCAUUCCCUGCAGUAUUCCAGCUCCCCCUUCCUGCACACCCCAAGCCCACCAAACCCCCUGUUCAGCCCUGGCCAGGGCUGUCAGUGACCAAGGCACAUACAGGCUCGUGCCAGGGUCACGCAUCCCACGUGGGCUGUGACACAGUCUGGUGUUACCAACACAGACAUCUGCAAGGGCUCCUUGUACCAGCACAGGUAAACAGCAAACCAUGAGCCCACCCAGGGCACCGAGCCCCCCAGAGCCCUGUGCCCACCCAGAUCUCUGUGCUCACCAGGAGCCCUGAGCCCACUCAUAGCCCUGAUCCCCCCGUGUCCCUGUGCCCACCUGGAGCCCUGUGCCCAGCUCUCCAGGCAAUGUCCUUGUGGUGCAGCUGCUCCUUUGCAAACUCACAGCAAAACAAACAAUUUUCCUGAUACUUUCCAACCUUUUGAUGGGAUUUUCAUUAAGGGAAGGAGUAGGGGAAAAAACCCUAUUGAAGGGAAGGAUUUUUCUUCAAGUGUUUGCAAUGGAUUUCCUUCCCCUGCUAGAUACAGCUCUGAUCCCACUUGUCCUGCUGAAACCCCUCAUGUAGGUGGCAACAGAAUCCAUGGAUGAAUGUCCUGGCUGGCAGCCAACAAGAUGCUGCUCUUGGAGGCUCCCCCAGGCCAGAGGGCUGCCAGCCCAGUGCUCGUGUGAGCUACGGAUAUGUGCAAAUGAAACGGUAAAAAAAUCCUGCUUGUGCAUCCCUGUCUUCUGGAACAUUCCCAGGCCCUCAGCGAGCAGAUGAGUGGUGAUGCCCGAUCCCUGUCAUCAGCUCAGGAUGGCUCUGAGCAGUUGGAACAGCUUCUUGGGAGAGCUUUGUGCUUAGCACAGGCUCAUGUCAGUGAAGGUUCUGUUGGUUAAUGAGUGCGGAGGUGUCCUGCUGCUGGGAGACCGGGAAGAACCUGACAGGGAUUUGCCCAUCCUGCUUGGCUGGUGGAAGCACCGUGCGAAUGAAAAGUGGUGGUGGGGAAUGGGAGGAUGAUACUGCCCCUGUGUCACCUGCCCCAGGCGUGUCACCUUCCCUCAUGUCACCUGCCCCAGGUGUGUCACCUGCCCUCAUGUCACCUGCCCCACAUGUGUCACCUGCCCUCAUGUGUCACCUGCCCUCAUGUGUCACCUGCCCCAUGUGUGUCACCUGCCCCAUGUGUUUCACCUGCCCCAGGUGUGUCACCUGCCCCAGGUGUGUCACCUGCCCCAGGUGUGUCACCAUGUGUGUGCAGCUGCUCUGGCCGGCGGGUGCUGAGCAGGGCAGCAGGUCAUGGGCAGCACCCCCAGCCCAGGGCAGGGGGGCAGGUGGGGGCACUGGGGUCAUGUUCUUUCUCUCUUCAGCACCACAAUUUCAACUUUUUCAUUCAGAAGUUGGGUUCUUAUAGUUACCAGGAGAUGUGGGAGCCAGGACCUGCAGCACCUGUGUGUGUAUUUGCUGGGGGAAUGAACACUGUUUCCACCUGGAUUUUCUUGGGCUGCUGCAGGAACUGGAGAAGAAAAGACCUAAGAAAUACCAAAGUCCAGCUCCUGCCAUGAAUCUUUGUGCUUUGUGUUUUCUUCUGCAUUUUCUUGUCCACUUUUGCUUUAAUAAAGCAAAGAGAAUUUCACUGUGUUCACAGUCCCACAGAAGCUGUCCCUGAGGCUCCUCUCAGGGUGGCCAAGCCCUGGAGCAGGGACCCCUUUGGUGUCGCAGCAGGGAGCCAACCACAUCCACGUUCCCCUGCAGACUCUCUGGCUCUGCUCUGGCUCAUCUCAGAGGUGUGGGGGCUUUUGGGCCGGCUCAGUCUGAGUCAGAGCUCAGACCAUCAGCUCCUGCCCAAGGCAGCAGAUGGAGGACAAGGGACACACACUUGGCAUUUCCCUGAGAGCAGUGUUGUACAUGGCUGGGCCCAAUUCCAUGACAGAGGGUGCAGAAUAAGGGAUGCUGCCUUUAGUGAAGGCGGGAGAGACUCUUCCUCAGUCCUGUGUCAUGCCAGAAGGUGGGAUCAGGCGGUGCAAUGGCAUGUGGCAUUCCCAAGGCAAACCUGUACCCUCCUGAGCCUGUCAGGUUCCUGCCAGCACCCCCUGCCUCAGCAGGAGCGAGAGCUGGGGCAGUGACUCUCCACUCAGAGAGGCCAUGGAUGAGUGGAGAACGGGCAGCAUCCAUGUGCUGUUGCCAUAAUGUUCAAGAGGCUCUUUGUGCUCAGCUCAGGGAACAGGGCCCUCAGUCACGGCCAUCGGGCUCAGCCAGGGAGGCAAAUCCCGCAGGACACUCCCUGCUCCGAGCCCUGCGGGGCCGGGGGGCCGUCACCGUGCUCUGUAGGGAUGCUGAGGGGUACCCCAGGGAUCACCAGCCCCCCGGGCAGUCCGAGAGCUGCUGCCCUCACAGUCCUCGUGGGGUCCCUCCCCUUGCUGAGCUCCCACCUUGGAUGUUUUAAUAAUAUAUGUUAAAGAUAUCUGUAUCUAUGUAAAAUAAAGGUGUGGCCCAUUUUCUGUCACUAAAGAUAUUUAUUGUGUGAUGCUCUGAGAGGGCACACUGAGGCACUGAAUGCUCUUCAAGAAAUGAGUCAGAAUGUACCAAUUUAGUAGAAACUUCUAAUUUAAUUAUUCUUCUGGCUGAGUGCUGCCCAGUUUGCAAAGGUCCUCCCUUUCAUGGCAUGCACAGAGCACAUACUGGAAUAGGCUGCUGUUGGUACUGGCUCCUCCAGGUUUCCUGUGGCUGCUUGUAGUUAGGCAGGGAUGGUGUUUGCUCUUGGGGAACGAUGGAAUGUCCUUUGUUUCUGUCCUCUUUGACUGCACAAAGUGUCCUCGCAUGUUCAGGCAGAAUCCUGGGAUUACAGAGAGGUGUCUGUGCUCUACCUGUCUCCAGACCUGGGGCAGGCAGGGUGCUCCAGCCCCUCCGGGUGGGUUGAAGCCUCCCCGUGCCCAGCGGUGCCUGCUCGCCUCCAGCUCAUUCCCUGGGGCAGCAGAGGGACCCUGUGCUUGUGACUCACAGAGAAAAUCUCUGCACCCACAUAAACCCUCAGCAAGUGGAUGAAAGCCGCUCUCUGUGCUGGAUGUUUGGUGUUCUGUGGCAAUUUUAUGCUGUUUCUCUUUGUUAACAUGUCUCUGUAAUAAUAAGAGUUCUCAAUUUGAUAUAUUUUAUUUUCUUUGUAUUAAGCCAAAAAGCUCCUUGCUGGUGCCUUUUUGCCUGGGGGGCCCUCCCAGCCCACAACUGUGUUCCUGAGAGGAACAAAGGGCAGUGUCUCCAACUGUUCCUUCCACCAGAGCUGAGGGAAAGUGGGAAGCCAAUGCCUCAGAACUGGCAGAAUGAAAAGAACCAGAGGCCUUGGAAUGGCAGAGACUUUGGGGUAGGUUGCCGGUUCUUUCCCGGGGCGUGGCUCCAAGGCGAGGGCUGAGCACGACACUGGGACACCUUGGCCCUGUCUCAGUGGGACUGGGGCUCUCGAGGCCCCGUGGUGUGGGCACAGCACACGCAGCUUGGGCCAGCCCCACUUGGAAUCAGAGGGCUUUGCCCAGAUUAUUGCACCUGAGGGCAAAUCCUCCAGAAAAGGACAAAAGGAUGUUCUUAGAUUGCUGCUACAGCUCUUUGAUUUUUUAAUUGGAACGGAAUGCAUUGGAUAAGGAAAAUAGACCCUACAGUGUUCCGGUGCCACGAGGGCCAGAGCACAGUGACAGACGCUGCCGGGGCCGGCGGGAUGCAGUGCAGGAUGCCCAGGGGACAACUGAGUCUCAAGUCCCUGUACAGGACUGAAGGCCAUUUACUUGUGUAACCAAAGAGAGGAGCCUGUCUGGCACUCAGGUAAAGACAAACCAAUGACACCGGGCUUGGGGUAAAUGAAAAUUCUCCUUUUUGGCUCUGUCAGCCAUGCCUGGGUCUCAUGUGAGCCCUCGGCUCUGCCACAGGGCGGCCCCUCACGCUUGGUGUUCAGCUCUUUUUGUAAUCUGAAAAUUUGCUGUUGUUCUGAGUCCAAUAAAUGCAGAAUCUGGUUUGCUGGAGCUCUGCCCUCUGCCUGCCUUUGGCUUUUGUGUUGUUUUUGUGCGUGAAAUCACUGUGGGUGUGACAGCUGUCAGCGAGUGAAGGCGCCGGGAAUCAGUGGGUCAUUUGUCAGUGGAUAAGGCUGUACAUUGGGUCGUUGUAGGCUUUUUUCACAGUCAGAUUUCGCUAUUAAUCACAUGUCUGAACUGGUAAUUCAGUUACAGAAUUGACUAAUCCUUUCAUAUAUUCCUCUUUGGGUCUUUUAAAUUGAAUUUCAUUUGAUUAAUGUACUUCUCAAAACAAGAAGCUAAUAAAGGCCAGUGUCCUCCUC